UAGUGGCAGACGGGUGAGUAAUGUAUAGGAAUCUACCUAGUAGUACGGAAUAAUUGUUGGAAACGGCAACUAAUACCGUAUACGCCCUACGGGGGAAAAAUUUAUUGCUAUUAGAUGAGCCUAUAUUAGAUUAGCUAGUUGGUGGAGUAAUAGCCUACCAAGGCAAUGAUCUAUAGCUGAUCUGAGAGGAUGAUCAGCCACACUGGAACUGAGAUACGGUCCAGACUCCUACGGGAGGCAGCAGUGGGGAAUAUUGGACAAUGGGCGAAAGCCUGAUCCAGCCAUGCCGCAUGAGUGAAGAAGGCCUUUGGGUUGUAAAGCUCUUUUAGUGAGGAAGAUAAUGACGGUACUCACAGAAGAAGUCCUGGCUAACUCCGUGCCAGCAGCCGCGGUAAUACGGAGAGGGCUAGCGUUAUUCGGAAUUAUUGGGCGUAAAGGGCGCGUAGGCGGAUUAAUAAGUUAAAAGUGAAAUCCCAAGGCUCAACCUUGGAAU
rnacentral:rRNA from 1 species